rnacentral:tRNA from 1 species
CGGGGCGUAGCGCAGUUUGGAAGCGCGCUCGGUUCGGGUCCGAGAGGUCCCCAGUUCAAAUCUGGGCGCCCCGA